GCCUGAGCAUUUAUUGUGAUAAUCAAAUCUGUUGAAACAAAAAAAAAUGGUCAAAAAACUACUAUUACUUUAUAGUACUAUACUUAUAUAGAAUUAUAGUAUAUAGAACAUACUACUAACCUAGUACUAGAUAGUUAAAGAGGGUAGGGCUGUACGAUAUUCUCAAUAUAGUCAUUUAUCGCGAUAUGGUAUUUUCAGACCCAACUACGAUAUCAUGUGGCCAAAAAUCGUCGAUAUAGUGGUUUAUCGAAUAUCGCCAAAAACUUCAAAUAUCAAAAAAAAUUAUCGUAAAAAUAGAUAUUAAAUACACUAUUACUAUUAUCUAUACAGCAGUGGAAAUUAGCCGACCGGUAUAAACUAUAAUAAAACUAAUGUUUUGAGAAUCGUUAAAUGUUGGAAACACUUGCGCAGUGUCCGCAGCCGUUUUUCACUGCAUCGUGUAUGCUUUACUUUUACUUUGUUUUUAGUCGACAAUAAAUUGUCAAUUGUAACUACAUGUAAAGCUUAGGCCUACUAAACGCCUGAAAUUUCCCACUACCGCGGCUAAUUACCAGGCUAUAAAUAGGAUGUCAUAUUUUUAAGAAACGAAUAUUUUUAGAAAACUCUACGAAACUUAAUUUCUGAAAGCAAGAAUAAAACGAUCUAUAAAUAGAUUACUGUCACUGUUAGGCCAGGAAUACCGCAGCCAAUCGAAUGCUUGACUGCAAGACUUGAAGACCGCAUCUACUUACUUUCGCUGAAUUCUGGUUUUUUGAAGUGAUUUAAUGUAAUAUGGCUCAACCAACGCCAAGAACUCUACCUCAAAGUAAAGAUGCUCUUCUUAAAUCUUACAAAAAACACCUGACAGAUGACAUUCAGUCCAUGUUAAGCAACUUUACAGAGAUCAUGAAAUUAGCAAGGGAAGGUACACCAUCUUCAACUUUUUCUGUGGUGGAAGAAGAAACUCAAAUUAGUCGACCAACACAGUGUGAACAAAAUCAGUAUGAAAUGCAAGUACGCGCAGCUAAUAUUGUAAGGGCAGGUGAAUCUUUAAUGAAGUUAACAUCAGACAUUAAACAAUUUUUAAUUU